AAUCAACGCUGGCGGCGUGCCUAACACAUGCAAGUCGAACGCGAAAGGGGACUUCGGUUCCUGAGUAGAGUGGCGUCCGGGUGAGUAACACGUGGGUAAUCUGCCUUCGGGUGGGGAAUAACUCAGGGAAACUUGAGCUAAUACCGCAUAAUGCAGCGGCACCUAAUGGUGAUUAGUUGUUAAAGCGGGGGAUCGCAAGACCUCGCGCCUGAAGAGGAGCCUGCGGCAGAUAGCUAGUUGGUAAGGUAAUGGCUUACCAAGGCUUCGAUCUGUAGCUGGUCUGAGAGGACGGCCAGCCACACUGGCACUGACACACGGGCCAGACUCCUACGGGAGGCAGCAGUGGGGAAUUUUGGGCAAUGGGACGAAAGCCUGACCCAGCAACGCCGCGUGAGGGAGGAAAUCCUUCGGGAUGUAAACCUCACAAGCAAGGGAAGAGAGCUACGGG
rnacentral:rRNA from 1 species